rnacentral:rRNA from 1 species
CACGUAGUUAGUCGGUGCUUCUUCUCAACCUACCGUCACAAAAGCUUCGUCGGUUGCGAAAGGAGUUUACAACCCGAAGGCCGUCAUCCCCCACGCGGCGUCGCUGCAUCAGGCUUGCGCCCAUUGUGCAAUAUUCCCCACUGCUGCCUCCCGUAGGAGUCUGGGCCGUAUCUCAGUCCCAAUGUGGCCGUACACCCUCUCAGGCCGGCUACCCGUCGACGCCUUGGUAGGCCAUUACCCCACCAACAAGCUGAUAGGCCGCGAGCUCAUCCCAUACCGCAAAAGCUCUCCACAAUCGCAUCCAAACAAUUGUCAUAUUCGGUAUUAGACCCAGUUUCCCAGGCUUAUCCCAAAGUACAGGGCAGAUCACCCACGUGUUACUCACCCGUUCGCCACUCGACGUACCCUGCAAGCAGGGUCCUUCCGUUCGACUUGCAUGUGUUAAGCACGCCGCCAGCGUUCAUCCUGAGCCAGGAUCAAAACUCUA